GGUUGUGUGGUCUAGAGGUAUGAUACCUGCUUUGGGUUCUCAUAUAUGAGGAGCAAAUUGCAGGUGGCCCGGAGUUCGAUCCUCCGCUCAACCC